rnacentral:rRNA from 1 species
UACGUAGGGUGCAAGCGUUAAUCGGAAUUACUGGGCGUAAAGCGUGCGCAGGCGGUUAUGUAAGACAGGUGUGAAAUCCCCGGGCUCAACCUGGGAACUGCAUUUGUGACUGUAGAGCUGGAGUACGGUAGAGGGGGAUGGAAUUCCGCGUGUAGCUGUGAAAUGCGUAGAUAUGCGGAGGAACACCGAUGGCGAAGGCAAUCCCCUGGACCUGUACUGACGCUCAUGCACGAAAGCGUGGGGAGCAAACAGG